rnacentral:rRNA from 1 species
GACGAACGCUGGCGGCGUGCUUAACACAUGCAAGUCGAACGGAAAGGCCUCUUUCGGGGGGUACUCGAGUGGCGAACGGGUGAGUAACACGUGAGUAACCUGCCCUUGACUUUGGGAUAACUUCAGGAAACUGGGGCUAAUACCGGAUAGGAGCUCCUGCUGCAUGGUGGGGGUUGGAAAGUUUCGGCGGUUGGGGAUGGACUCGCGGCUUAUCAGCUUGUUGGUGGGGUAGUGGCUUACCAAGGCUUUGACGGGUAGCCGGCCUGAGAGGGUGACCGGCCACAUUGGGGCUGAGAUACGGCCCAGACUCCUACGGGAGGCAGCAGUGGGGAAUAUUGCACAAUGGGUGGAAGCCGGAUGCAGCAACGCCGUGGGCGGGAGGACGGCCUUCGGGUUGUAAACCGCUUUCGCUCAUGACGAAGCUUUGUGUGACGGUAGUGGGUAAAGAAGCACCGGCUAACUACGUG